UUUGACCUCAAAUCAGGCAAGACUACCCGCUGAACUUAAGCAUAUCAAUAAGCGGAGGAAAAGAAACCAACCGGGAUGACCCUAGUAACGGCGAGUGAAGCGGUCACAGCUCAAAUUUGAAAUCGCUUCGGCGAAUUGUACUUUGCAGAGGAAGUUUCGGAGGAAGCUCCGCCCAAGUCUCUUGGAACAGAGCGUCACAGAGGGUGAGAACCCCGUUGGGCUACGCGGAAUCCAGGUGAAACUCCUUCGACGAGUCGAGUUGUUUGGGAAUGCAGCUCUAAAUGGGUGGUAAAUUUCAUCUAAGGCUAAAUACCGGCUCGAGACCGAUAGCGAACAAGUAGAGUGAUCGAAAGAUGAAAAGCACUUUGAAAAGAGAGUCAAAAGUACGUGAAAUUGUUGAAGGGGAAGCGCU
rnacentral:rRNA from 1 species